GCCAUAUCCCAUUGAAACACCGGUUCCCGUACGAUUACCAAAGUUAAGCUACCUCGAGCUUGGUUAAUACCUCGAUGAGUGACCGACUGGGAAUGUCAGAUGAUGUAA